CCAACCCCUGCUGGCUCUUUCUGCACAAACAGCAGAGAGAUCCUGGCUGUGGCCGGCCCACCAACAUAGAGGUGCUUUGAAGAGCCGUCCUAUCCAAAGAGUAUUUAGAGCUUUGAAUAUUGGGUCAGCUGAGCCAUGCCCUCAACCUGAAAACGUCUACAUGGCAGUGCCUAGACCCGGUGGCUGUCACAGUAUGUGGUGAAAAGCAGAUGACAGGUCUGCAGAGGGCUGGAAGUCAAGAUCCCGAGAUGGGAAGAUUCUGGACUAUCUGGAUGCAUUUCCUCAGUCCUCGACAAGCCGACCAAACCCAAAACGACAUCAAGGGAAAAGAACAGGAGCCAGACAGACAAAUUAACUUGCCAUGUGGGAGGGGCAGAUGGAAGUGUAGACGGCAAAGCACCUGUAGCUCUUCCCCCUUCACAGCCUGGGCUUGAGGACCACGUGGCUCAAGAGACAGCGCUCAGAAGCUGGGUCAAGUUGAAAGACAGCUCUUCAGAGAAAAAUGGAAAGCCUCAUUUUAGCAACGACGAACUCAAAGUCUGAAAACGGAACCAUUUCCCAGGUCGUGGCUUCCCAUCCAGGCUGUUCACGCCCCACCUCUGGCCACAUACCCACCCAAGGCACCCCAGGUGACAGCCACAUGGGCAGCAGAGGGCCAGAGCCCUGUGACUCAGCCAGACACUCACUCAAGCCUCUCUUCUUCUCUCCUCCUGAGGUCGAAGUCUCGCUGAACCACUGCCCAGAUAUGCUCUGCCUCCUCAUCCGUGAGCUUGGAAAGG